CAGAAUUGAUCUACAAGAUCUGCAGCUGUUGAUGCGCCCCAAUGCACUCAGAAAUAUUCAAUGUAGAAGGCAAGACCUGGUCAGAUCCAGGCAAGGCUCGGCGUUCUGCACAACCUCCUUUUAGCCAGCAGAGGACUCUGAGGCAUGCCUGGAUGAUUUCUUUGUCUGGAUUAGAACAGCAAGUGAAACGCCAGUGAAGGCUGCCAUUAAAGUGGUGAUGAAAUAACAGAUGAAAGCCCCAUUUUCCCCAAAGCCACCCUUGUCAACAUUUAACAUGUCUGAAAUUGAAAGAAGAAAUAAAUUUGAACCGUU